rnacentral:rRNA from 1 species
UCAUCAUGCCCCUUAUGUUCUGGGCUACACACGUGCUACAAUGGCCGGUACAGACGGACGCAAAGCCGCGAGGUGGAGCAAAUCCUAAAAAGCCGGCCUCAAGUUCGGAUUGCAGGCUGCAAUUCGCCUGCAUGAAGUCGGAAUCGCUAGUAAUCGCAGGUCAGCAUACUGCGGUGAAUACGUUCCCGGGCCUU